rnacentral:rRNA from 1 species
UACGUAGGUGGCAAGCGUUAUCCGGAAUUAUUGGGCGUAAAGCGCGCGCAGGCGGUUUCUUAAGUCUGAUGUGAAAGCCCCCGGCUCAACUGGGGAGGGUCACGCGAUACUGGUCGACUCGAAGGCAGGAGAGGGUAGUGGAAUUCCCGGUGUAGUGGUGAAAUGCGUAGAUAUCGGGAGGAACACCAGUGGCGAAGGCGACUACCUGGCCUGUUCUUGACGCUGAGGCGCGAAAGCUAGGGGAGCAAACGGG